UGGCUCAGGAUGAACGCUAGCGGCAGGCUUAACACAUGCAAGUCGAGGGGCAGCGGGGAGGAAGCUUGCUUUCUCCGCCGGCGACCGGCGCACGGGUGAGUAACACGUAUGCAACCUGCCCCUGUCAGGGGGACAACCCGCCGAAAGGCGGGCUAAACCCGCGUACAUGCCACCGGGGCAUCCCGGAGGCAGGAAAGGCUUCGGCCGGACAGGGAUGGGCAUGCGGCGCAUUAGGCAGUAGGCGGGGUAACGGCCCACCUAACCGACGAUGCGUAGGGGUUCUGAGAGGAAGGUCCCCCACACUGGUACUGAGACACGGACCAGACUCCUACGGGAGGCAGCAGAGAGGAAUAUUGGUCAAUGGUCGGGAGACUGAACCAGCCAAGCCGCGUGAGGGAGGAAGGUACAGAGUAUCGUAAACCUCUUUUGUCAGGGAACAAAGACUGGGACGCGUCCCCGGAUGAGUGUACCUGAAGAAAAAGCAUCGGCUAACUCCGUGCCAGCAGCCGCGGUAAUACGGAGGAUGCGAGCGUUAUCCGGAUUUAUUGGGUUUAAAGGGUGCGCAGGCGGUCUGUUAAGUCAGCGGUCAAAGCCCGGGGCUCAACCCCGGCCCGCCGUUGAAACUGGCAGUCUCGAGUUGGAGAGAAGUAUGCGGAAUGCGCGGUGUAGCGGUGAAAUGCAUAGAUAUCGCGCAGAACUCCGAUUGCGAAGGCAGCAUGCCGGCUCCACACUGACGCUGAGGCACGAAAGCGUGGGUAUCGAACAGGAUUAGAUACCCUGGUAGUCCACGCAGUAAACGAUGAAUGCUGGCUGUCCGGGGGGACUGACCCCUGGGUGGCGAAGCGAAAGCGAUAAGCAUUCCACCUGGGGAGUACGCCGGCAACGGUGAAACUCAAAGGAAUUGACGGGGGCCCGCACAAGCGGAGGAACAUGUGGUUUAAUUCGAUGAUACGCGAGGAACCUUACCCGGGCUCAAACGGGGAGUGACUCAGGCAGAGACGCCUGUUUCCCACGGGACACUCCCCGAGGUGCUGCAUGGUUGUCGUCAGCUCGUGCCGUGAGGUGUCGGCUUAAGUGCCAUAACGAGCGCAACCCCCGCGUGCAGUUGCUAACAGAUAACGCUGAGGACUCUGCACGGACUGCCGGCGCAAGCCGCGAGGAAGGCGGGGAUGACGUCAAAUCAGCACGGCCCUUACGUCCGGGGCGACACACGUGUUACAAUGGGUGGUACAGCGGGAAGCCAGGCGGCGACGCCGAGCGGAACCCGAAAUCCACUCUCAGUUCGGAUCGGAGUCUGCAACCCGACUCCGUGAAGCUGGAUUCGCUAGUAAUCGCGCAUCAGCCAUGGCGCGGUGAAUAUGUUCCCGGGCCUUGUACACACCGCCCGUCAAGCCAUGGGAGCCGAGGGCGCUUGAAGUGCGUCGCCGCGAGGCGCGCCCUAGAGCGAAAUCGGUGACUGGGGCUAAGUCGUAACAAG
rnacentral:rRNA from 1 species